CACGUAGGGUGCGAGCGUUGUCCGGAAUUAUUGGGCGUAAAGCGUGCGUAGGUGGUUCGUUAAGUCUGAUGUGAAAGCCCCGGGCUCAACCUGGGAACUGCAUUGGAUACUGGCGAUCUGGAGUGCGGUAGAGGGUGGCGGAAUUCCCGGUGUAGCAGUGAAAUGCGUAGAUAUCGGGAGGAACAUCCGUGGCGAAGGCGGCCACCUGGACCAGCACUGACACUGAGGCACGAAAGCGUGGGGAGCAAACAGG
rnacentral:rRNA from 1 species